rnacentral:misc_RNA from 1 species
UUUCCGUAGGUGAACCUGCGGAAGGAUCAUUAUUGAGCCCUGCCCUCACGGGUAGACCUCCAACCCUGUGUAUUUAUACCUUUGUUGCUUUGGCAGGCCGUCAGGCUUCGGCUUGACUAUCGGCUCCGGCUGGUAAGCGCCUGCCAGAAGACAUUCAAACUCUGUAAUCAAUGUCGUCUGAGUAAAAAUUUAAUAAGUUAAAACUUUCAACAACGGAUCUCUUGGUUCUGGCAUCGAUGAAGAACGCAGC